rnacentral:tRNA from 1 species
AGGAGUGUGACUCGAUGGUAGAGUGCCUGCCUAGCAAGCACAAAGCCCUGAGUUCAGACCUCAGUACUGCUA